UACGUAGGGUGCGAGCGUUGUCCGGAAUUAUUGGGCGUAAAGAGCUCGUAGGCGGUUUGUCGCGUCGGCCGUGAAAACUUGGGGCUUAACCCCAAGCCUGCGGUCGAUACGGGCAGACUUGAGUUCGGCAGGGGAGACUGGAAUUCCUGGUGUAGCGGUGAAAUGCGCAGAUAUCAGGAGGAACACCGGUGGCGAAGGCGGGUCUCUGGGCCGAUACUGACGCUGAGGAGCGAAAGCGCGGGGAGCGAACAGG
rnacentral:rRNA from 1 species